AGCUCCAAUAGCGUAUAUUAAAGUUGUUGCAGUUAAAAAGCUCGUAGUUGAAUUUUAGAUUUGGUUGGGCGGUCUGCCUUCUUGGGUAUGUACUGUUCGGCUGGAUCUGACCUUCUGGAAAACCGCCAUUUUUAUCCUUUUGGGUAAGAUGGUCUUUGGGAUUCCAGAUCUUUUACUUUGAAAAAAUUAGAGUGUUUAAAGCAGGCAUUCGCUUGAAUACAUUAGCAUGGAAUAAUAGAAUAGGACUUGGGUUCUAUUUUGUUGGUUUCUAGGACCGAAGUAAUGAUUAAUAGGGAUAGUUGGGGGCAUUAGUAUUUAAUUGUCAGAGGUGAAAUUCUUGGAUUUAUUAAAGACUAACUUCUGCGAAAGCAUUUGCCAAGGAUGUUUUCA
rnacentral:rRNA from 1 species